GUAGGGAAUCUUCCACAAUGGACGAAAGUCUGAUGGAGCAACGCCGCGUGAAUGAAGAAGGCCUUCGGGUCGUAAAAUUCUGUUGUCAGAGAAGAACGUGCGUGAGAGUAACUGUUCACGUAUUGACGGUAUCUGACCAGAAAGCCACGGCUAACUACGUGCCAGCAGCCGCGGUAAUACGUAGGUGGCGAGCGUUGUCCGGAUUUAUUGGGCGUAAAGGGAACGCAGGCGGUCUUUUAAGUCUGAUGUGAAAGCCUUCGGCUUAACCGAAGUAGUGCAUUGGAAACUGGAAGACUUGAGUGCAGAAGAGGAGAGUGGAACUCCAUGUGUAGCGGUGAAAUGCGUAGAUAUAUGGAAGAACACCAGUGGCGAAAGCGGCUCUCUGGUCUGUAACUGACGCUGAGGUUCGAAAGCGUGGGUAGCAAACAGGAUUAGAAACCCCAGUAGUCC
rnacentral:rRNA from 1 species